rnacentral:rRNA from 1 species
UACGUAGGGGGCUAGCGUUGUCCGGAAUCAUUGGGCGUAAAGCGCGCGUAGGCGGUCACGCACGUCCGUUGUGAAAUCGCUCGGCUCAACUGGGCGGGGUCAGCGGAUACGGUGUGACUGGAGCAAGCUAGGGGGCAAUGGAAUUCCCGGUGUAGUGGUGAAAUGCGUAGAUAUCUGGAGGAACACCGGUGGCGAAGGCGGCAUCCUGGACCGGUAUUGACGCUGAGGAGCGAAAGCCAGGGGAGCAAACGGG